AGAGACCGGCGCACGGGUGCGUAACGCGUAUGCAAUCUACCUUUUACAGGGGAAUAGCCCAGAGAAAUUUGGAUUAAUGCCCCAUAGUAUAGUUUUUUCGCAUGAAGAGAUUAUUAAAGUCACAACGGUAAAAGAUGAGCAUGCGUCCCAUUAGUUAGUUGGUAAGGUAACGGCUUACCAAGACAAUGAUGGGUAGGGGUCCUGAGAGGGAGAUCCCCCACACUGGUACUGAGACACGGACCAGACUCCUACGGGAGGCAGCAGUGAGGAAUAUUGGACAAUGGGCGCAAGCCUGAUCCAGCCAUGCCGCGUGCAGGAAGACGGUCCUAUGGAUUGUAAACUGCUUUUAUACAGGAAGAAACACUCCGACGUGUCGGAGCUUGACGGUACUGUAGGGAUAAGGAUCGGCUAACUCCGUGCCAGCAGCCGCGGUAAUACGGAGGAUCCAAGCGUUAUCCGGAAUCAUUGGGUUUAAAGGGUCCGUAGGCGGUUUAAUAAGUCAGUGGUGAAAUCUGGUCGCUCAACGAUCAA
rnacentral:rRNA from 1 species